AACGAACGCUGGCGGCAGGCUUAACACAUGCAAGUCGAACGCCCCGCAAGGGGAGUGGCAGACGGGUGAGUAACGCGUGGGAAUCUACCCAGUUCUACGGAACAACUGAGGGAAACUUCAGCUAAGACCGUAUACGCCCUACGGGGGAAAGAUUUCUCGGAAUUGGAUGAGCCCGCGUUGGAUUAGCUAGUUGGUGAGGUAACGGCUCACCAAGGCGACGAUCCAUAGCUGGUCUGAGAGGAUGAUCAGCCACACCGGGACUGAGACACGGCCCAGACUCCUACGGGAGGCAGCAGUGGGGAAUAUUGGACAAUGGGCGCAAGCCUGAUCCAGCCAUGCCGCGUGAGUGAUGAAGGCCUUAGGGUUGUAAAGCUCUUUCAGUGGGGACGAUAAUGACGGUACCCACAGAAGAAGCCCCGGCUAACUUCGUGCCAGCCGCCGCGGUAAGAC
rnacentral:rRNA from 1 species